AUGGCAACAGAAUCCACAACAACAAUGACUUUUAUCAGCAUCUUCAUCUGGGCACUUGUCAUCUGCACUCAGGAAUCCAGUGGACAGUAUACUGUGACUCAGACUCCAGCAGUGAAAUCUGUUCUCCCAGGAGACACAGUGGCACUGAGCUGUAAAGUCAGUAGUGCAGUGCACAGUGAUAGCUAUGGCAACCACCUAGCCUGGUACCAACAGAAACCUGGAGAAGCUCCCAAACUCCUGAUCUAUUUGGCAAGUACCCUUCAGUCUGGGAUCCCAGCUCAUUUCAGUGGCAGUGGAUCUGGGACUGAAUUCACUCUCACCAUCAGUGGAGUCCAGGCUGAAGAUGCAGGAGAUUACUACUGUCAGAGUUACCACUACCCCAGCAGUAGAGCUGUGUUCACACAGUGCUACACACCCGUACAAAAACCUCCCUCAGCUGGACUGCACAGCGACUGCACUGCUGCAGCUGGGACCUACUGCAGGUGCUGAGGGUGAAGGCAAUGAAACGGGACACGGCCUGUGGAGGAGCUCAACUGCACAUAAGCACACUGAGCUCAAUAGCAAGGGCUGCAAAUAAAAGACAAGAUGAAUCUGGUAAAUAUCUUGAUUAUUCAUGUAUUCUAAUACAUUGCAGAGGCUGAAGGGCUGUCAUUGGAGUUAUAUUUACUAACAUAGUUUCAAAUGAAAAUGAAAAUAGAAUUAUUGAUUACUCUGCAGUAAAGAAAAGAUAAAGGCAUUGAAACUAAUAUACAAAGUGGAAACAUAGAAAAUCACACACUGUAUUUCCCUUAAAGGAAAUGAGUAAAUAAAUACUGCAGAGAAUUUGACUAGAUCUGAUUGUGCUCUCAUCCCAAUACAGGUAAACGUUUCCACAUUCAAUCUCCUAUUACAUGCUCCAGUACUAAUGUGCUUUACUUGUUGUCAUGCCCAUGUGGGAAAGGAUAUGUGGGGAAAACUUUGACAAUUCGAAAUUCAUCUAAGUGAUCUCAAUAGUGCAAUGAGACAAAAAGAUGAAACUUCACCUGUAGCAAAACAUUUCAUGGAGAGAAACCAUAACGUACCUGCUUUCAGAUGGAUUGGCAUUGAAAAAGUGAUUCUGAAUCGUAGAGGUGGAGACCUGCAUACACAAUGACUUCAAUGGGAGUCUUUUUGGACACACCCCCUGAAUACACUGUCACCAAUUGGGAUGAGCGAGGAACUGGAUUUGGUAGCUCUUUAUCAUUUAGAAUUUGGCCUCCUUUUAAUGUGGUUGUUUUUCUCAUUAAUGUGAUAUUUUGUUCAGUUGUUUCUAAUCUAUGUAAUUAAUAGUGAUGCAUUUCGAAUGAGUUCUUGAUAACCAAUGAAAGGUGAUUCAUGCUUUGUUUAAUACAGUAUUGAUGGCAGUGUUGUUGUAGAUGUUACUGGUAUAGUUUUAUUAUAAGUUGAUAAUUAAAUGGUUCUGAGUUACUGUUUCAAUGAGAUUGGCAAUCUGUCUAUUGAUUCAAUGCAAGAGUGUUCUUUGAAUUGAUGAAUGGAAAUGAGAAAAAUGCUGUAACAAAAGCUGUAUUGAAUUGAUUAAUAGAAUAAUG